GGGUUGUGAGGUUAAGCGACUAAGCGUACACGGUGGAUGCCCUGGCAGUCAGAGGCGAUGAAGGACGUGCUAAUCUGCGAUAAGCGUCGGUAAGGUGAUAUGAACCGUUAUAACCGGCGAUUUCCGAAUGGGGAAACCCAGUGUGAUUCGUCACACUAUCAUUAACUGAAUCCAUAGGUUAAUGAGGCGAACCGGGGGAACUGAAACAUCUAAGUACCCCGAGGAAAAGAAAUCAACCGAGAUUCCCCCAGUAGCGGCGAGCGAACGGGGAGGAGCCCAGAGCCUGAAUCAGUGUGUGUGUUAGUGGAAGCGUCUGGAAAGGCGCGCGAUACAGGGUGACAGCCCCGUACACAAAAAUGCACAUGCUGUGAGCUCGAUGAGUAGGGCGGGACACGUGGUAUCCUGUCUGAAUAUGGGGGGACCAUCCUCCAAGGCUAAAUACUCCUGACUGACCGAUAGUGAACCAGUACCGUGAGGGAAAGGCGAAAAGAACCCCGGCGAGGGGAGUGAAAAAGAACCUGAAACCGUGUACGUACAAGCAGUGGGAGCACAGAGCAUCUGUGUGACUGCGUACCUUUUGUAUAAUGGGUCAGCGACUUAUAUUCUGUAGCAAGGUUAACCGAAUAGGGGAGCCGAAGGGAAACCGAGUCUUAACUGGGCGUUAAGUUGCAGGGUAUAGACCCGAAACCCGGUGAUCUAGCCAUGGGCAGGUUGAAGGUUGGGUAACACUAACUGGAGGACCGAACCGACUAAUGUUGAAAAAUUAGCGGAUGACUUGUGGCUGGGGGUGAAAGGCCAAUCAAACCGGGAGAUAGCUGGUUCUCCCCGAAAGCUAUUUAGGUAGCGCCUCGUGAAUUCAUCUCCGGGGGUAGAGCACUGUUUCGGCAAGGGGGUCAUCCCGACUUACCAACCCGAUGCAAACUGCGAAUACCGGAGAAUGUUAUCACGGGAGACACACGGCGGGUGCUAACGUCCGUCGUGAAGAGGGAAACAACCCAGACCGCCAGCUAAGGUCCCAAAGUCAUGGUUAAGUGGGAAACGAUGUGGGAAGGCCCAGACAGCCAGGAUGUUGGCUUAGAAGCAGCCAUCAUUUAAAGAAAGCGUAAUAGCUCACUGGUCGAGUCGGCCUGCGCGGAAGAUGUAACGGGGCUAAACCAUGCACCGAAGCUGCGGCAGCGACACUGUGUGUUGUUGGGUAGGGGAGCGUUCUGUAAGCCUGUGAAGGUGUGCUGUGAGGCAUGCUGGAGGUAUCAGAAGUGCGAAUGCUGACAUAAGUAACGAUAAAGCGGGUGAAAAGCCCGCUCGCCGGAAGACCAAGGGUUCCUGUCCAACGUUAAUCGGGGCAGGGUGAGUCGACCCCUAAGGCGAGGCCGAAAGGCGUAGUCGAUGGGAAACAGGUUAAUAUUCCUGUACUUGGUGUUACUGCGAAGGGGGGACGGAGAAGGCUAUGUUGGCCGGGCGACGGUUGUCCCGGUUUAAGCGUGUAGGCUGGUUUUCCAGGCAAAUCCGGAAAAUCAAGGCUGAGGCGUGAUGACGAGGCACUACGGUGCUGAAGCAACAAAUGCCCUGCUUCCAGGAAAAGCCUCUAAGCAUCAGGUAACAUCAAAUCGUACCCCAAACCGACACAGGUGGUCAGGUAGAGAAUACCAAGGCGCUUGAGAGAACUCGGGUGAAGGAACUAGGCAAAAUGGUGCCGUAACUUCGGGAGAAGGCACGCUGAUAUGUAGGUGAAGUCCCUCGCGGAUGGAGCUGAAAUCAGUCGAAGAUACCAGCUGGCUGCAACUGUUUAUUAAAAACACAGCACUGUGCAAACACGAAAGUGGACGUAUACGGUGUGACGCCUGCCCGGUGCCGGAAGGUUAAUUGAUGGGGUCAGCGCAAGCGAAGCUCUUGAUCGAAGCCCCGGUAAACGGCGGCCGUAACUAUAACGGUCCUAAGGUAGCGAAAUUCCUUGUCGGGUAAGUUCCGACCUGCACGAAUGGCGUAAUGAUGGCCAGGCUGUCUCCACCCGAGACUCAGUGAAAUUGAACUCGCUGUGAAGAUGCAGUGUACCCGCGGCAAGACGGAAAGACCCCGUGAACCUUUACUAUAGCUUGACACUGAACAUUGAGCCUUGAUGUGUAGGAUAGGUGGGAGGCUUUGAAGUGUGGACGCCAGUCUGCAUGGAGCCGACCUUGAAAUACCACCCUUUAAUGUUUGAUGUUCUAACGUGGACCCGUGAUCCGGGUUGCGGACAGUGUCUGGUGGGUAGUUUGACUGGGGCGGUCUCCUCCUAAAGAGUAACGGAGGAGCACGAAGGUUGGCUAAUCCUGGUCGGACAUCAGGAGGUUAGUGCAAUGGCAUAAGCCAGCUUGACUGCGAGCGUGACGGCGCGAGCAGGUGCGAAAGCAGGUCAUAGUGAUCCGGUGGUUCUGAAUGGAAGGGCCAUCGCUCAACGGAUAAAAGGUACUCCGGGGAUAACAGGCUGAUACCGCCCAAGAGUUCAUAUCGACGGCGGUGUUUGGCACCUCGAUGUCGGCUCAUCACAUCCUGGGGCUGAAGUAGGUCCCAAGGGUAUGGCUGUUCGCCAUUUAAAGUGGUACGCGAGCUGGGUUUAGAACGUCGUGAGACAGUUCGGUCCCUAUCUGCCGUGGGCGCUGGAGAACUGAGGGGGGCUGCUCCUAGUACGAGAGGACCGGAGUGGACGCAUCACUGGUGUUCGGGUUGUCAUGCCAAUGGCACUGCCCGGUAGCUAAAUGCGGAAGAGAUAAGUGCUGAAAGCAUCUAAGCACGAAACUUGCCCCGAGAUGAGUUCUCCCUGACCCUUUAAGGGUCCUGAAGGAACGUUGAAGACGACGACGUUGAUAGGCCGGGUGUGUAAGCGCAGCGAUGCGUUGAGCUAACCGGUACUAAUGAACCGUGAGGCUUAACCUUACAACGCCGAAGGUGUUU
rnacentral:rRNA from 1 species